rnacentral:lncRNA from 1 species
UAAACCUUAAGAUGACUCAGCAACUUCUGCUUUAUGCACAUGCAACUCCCUUAAGAAAUCUGGCUCUGGUGCAGGAGAGACAAAGUGAAGAGGCCACGUGGUGAGGAAGAUGCCUUGAGACAAGGAAAGAGGGAAAGACCAGCUGUUCUCUGUUCCAACCCCUGGUGACCAGUGCAGCCACUGAGGAAGUUCAGGGAAGAUGGAAUGAAAAAUCAAAGUUUUACACUUGUUAUGAUCUUAAUUUUAAGCCUUUGUAAUUCUCAUAAGGGGACUUUUCAAUGUAAUUGCUACUUUGUUGAAUGUCUCAAACUUUUCUUGAGUUUGAUAAACUUCAAGACAAUAGUCACACUCUUCUGUAAAUAAAGUAAGUGGAGUUCGGACUGUGACAACAUGUCAUCUCUCAAGCAAGUUAUAUUUCUCUGACACAUGUCUUCGAGGCAAACACUCCUGACUUCAGGAGUCGGUGGGAGCUGCUGGUUGAGAUGCGGUCAUUGCCAUGACCGCAUUGAAGACCUCUGCUGUUGUCCUUCCUUGAGUCAGUAAUGGAUAUUACAAACACCACCUUCUAAUGCCAGCACAGGGAGAGUGCAUAACUGUGAUUUGUAAGAAUGUCAUCUUUCUCCAAGUGAAUGCAAAGAGGCUUUCUACCACAGUCUGCAUUCACUGAUGGGCUGUGAUCCAUUGUGAGACACAAACAUAAAUCAAGAGGAGGUCAUAAAGUAGGUCCUUAUGUGGACAAGCAAAUUUAAGGAAAAUAAGGGAUCAUGAAGAUGAGGAAAUACAGCUUUCAUAAGCCUGGGUCCUUCCUUGAGUGAAUUCCACCGUCAUUAGGUUUUGAUAAUUAUUUGUUACCAUAGCAUAGCUUAACCUGACCUGACUGAAACAGCAUUUUAAUAAGGAAAUAAAGACGAAGAGGAAUUAAGUGAUUCAUUCAAAUUGGCAUGGCAAAGUUGCAAACCAAAUUUUCUGGUUCUUCUGUCCUAGGUUAACAAGCUCAAUUCAGGAUAAUAUGUCCUCUAGGAACUUCAAAAUUAAACAACAUCCAGGAUAAUAUAUCCCUCAAGAACCUCAAAAUUAAACAACAUCCGAUUUAGUGCACAUGUAAUGUAUUCAUUCACAUACAAAAUAAUUGGUUAUCAUGAUUGGAUUGAAAACUUAGAGUCCAUAAUUAUCGUCAAGUUGGAUGUUAAAAUAAGCAAAGAGUAAAUCCACUAACACAAGCCAUUUCGUGGAUAAGCAAAAUUGUAAUGUUGCAGCUUUCUAAAUAUCUGGAAUGGUGUAGUCUCUGAGUUAAAGCUAGCUUUUUCAUCAGACAAGGAAUACUUGACUACAAAGGAGUACUUCUACCUACAUUCUUAUGGGAGAUUGAGAAGGGAAAUAUCAGCCAAGAAGACAGUUCCUGGAACAUCCGUCGCUAGAUGAGGCGUCUAACGUAAUUGUAAGAAGCUUAGACACUUCACUUGCCGUUUACGUUAAUACCCAUGGAUCCCUGACAUCUGGACAUGCUAAUCCAUGCUUGAGUGAAAAUGUACUUUGCACACAGCCUUUUAGUUGCAAUAUAUUUUUGUAAGAUUUCAUGACUGUGUAGCCCAGUUUCUUCUUUUGUGCUAAAGAGACUUCUAAAAAAAAUGAAUUUAAUAUUUUGGCUACUUCAAAGCCACAUCCAUUUCACACUCAGUCUUCAUUUUGUGUUCAUUCUUACUGGUGAUAUUUUAAUAUUCCCUGUUUAACUACCUUUUAUGUAAUUUAAUUUUUGUAUUUUUGGCAGCCUGUGUCUUAUUUCUCUUAAGCUUUAAUCAAUGCCAACUACUUUAUUUCUUUACCUGAUGUUUUGCUCAUUUCCUCC